rnacentral:rRNA from 1 species
CCAGACUCCUACGGGAGGCAGCAGUGGGGAAUAUUGGGCAAUGGGCGAAAGCCUGACCCAGCGACGCCGCGUGAAGGAAGACGGUCUUCGGAUUGUAAACUUCUUUUAUAUGGGACGAACACAUGACGGUACCAUAUGAAUAAGCCACGGCUAACUACGUGCCAGCAGCCGCGGUAAUACGUAGGUGGCGAGCGUUAUCCGGAUUUACUGGGUGUAAAGGGUGUGUAGGCGGGACUGCAAGUCGGAUGUGAAAAUCACAGGCUUAACCUGUGACCUGCAUUCGAAACUGUGGUUCUUGAGGGUCGGAGAGGUAACUGGAAUUCCUGGUGUAGCGGUGAAAUGCGUAGAUAUCAGGAGGAACACCGGUGGCGAAGGCGGGUUACUGGACGAUUACUGACGCUGAGACACGAAAGCGUGGGGAGCAAACAGGAUUAGAUACCCUGGUAGUCCACGCUGUAAACGAU